AGAAUGUUUAUGCUUUAGUAGCACUGAUGAAAACCCAGCAUGGAUUUCUUACACCUGGAACAUGUUAUAUGUCUGGAUUCACACCAAGGACCAGGUCCCUAGGGAAAACAAGUUCCAUGUGAAGCCACUACAGGUAAGGACCACUGAAAGCACUCUACCAGUUGGGGUGAUGAUGGUGGACUAGCAACAUCCUUACAGCCAAUUGGCACAUGCUGGAAUAGGUUCCCUGUGUGUGUGAGAGAGAGAAUUUGGUGCAGUAGCUAGCAUGCAGUUUUGUUUCUGCUAAACUGGAAAGGCCGUAGCCUGCAGUUGAAUGGGCAGCCACAUGUGGAUACUGACUGCUAUGCAUUAUUCACACGAAUGGGGCUAGUAAGUGCUACUUGGUACAGCUUGGAAUCUUUGGAGGGCUGUUCCGAGAUUGGAAACGAGUUCUGUUUAUGCUGAUGUGUGCCUUUGGUGGGCUUAUGCUCCUUCCUUGCUUAAUUCCCAUAAUUCAGUCUAUAGUAACUUGCACCAUUGAAGGUAUGAUGGUGGUCACAACCAACCCAAAGAAACCUGAUGCCCUGGCAAAAACCCUGGCACUCAGAUCUGUCCCAAGGGAAUGUUCUUCCUUGCUUCAAUGACAACCCAUGGAGGCCACCUCCAGGGUUGCAUAUAUGAAAAGGGAGGAAAUGAAGGAGCCUGAUUAGCUUAACUAAUGUUAUUUAGUUCUAGCUUAACUAACGCUAUUUGCUUUUGUAAAAAGCUGCUUGCUUGAAAGCUUGGUUAGCUCAGUUAACGCCAUUUGCUUUCUGUAUAACUGCUUGCUUUGGAGAAGAAAAAGGGUAGGCAAAAGAAUGUUAGGCAAAAGAAUGUUGAUAAGGUAAGAUAAGGGUAUUGUGAAGAAGACGACUCCCUACGCAAGGCCUGGCACGCUGUGAUCACACUCGGUCUGUGAAGGGAUUGGAUGGAGCGAUCCUCUUCCACGAGGACAGGCAUGCAGUGGACAUGCAGACCCCGUAAGGGGAUUGGGCAAAGGGUCAGGCAGACCCUGGGAGGUGACUGGAUGAGGGAACAAUGGGGGUGAGAUUGUGUGAGAAACAGUAAGGAAGAAAGAAGCUAUAAGAAGGAUGAGUUGAUGGAAUGUGUUGUGUUGUUGCUUCCUGCCUGUGUACUGGGAAGCUGACACCUGGUUGCCCUUCUCAGCUGAAUAAAGGAACCAAAUGAA